rnacentral:rRNA from 1 species
UACGGGGGGGGCAAGCGUUGUUCGGAAUUACUGGGCGGAAAGGGCUCGUAGGCGGCCAACUAAGUCAGACGUGAAAUCCCUCGGCUUAACCGGGGAACUGCGUCUGAUACUGGAUGGCUUGAGGUUGGGAGAGGGAUGCGGAAUUCCAGGUGUAGCGGUGAAAUGCGUAGAUAUCUGGAGGAACACCGAUGGCGAAGGCAGCACUCUGGGCCGGCACUGACGCUGAGGAGCGAAAGCGUGGGGAGCGAACAGG